UAUGAAGUUGGAGUGUUACAUCACAUAUGAAUGUUUGGAUAUUGAUCCGGUGAUUUAGAGUUGGCCUCUUAUUGAAUGAGUUUGAUUUAAGAUCUCUUUCUUGACUUCGGCUAGUUCUGUUUUCUUUUCUUUUUUCUUUUUGCUUUGGUGUUUAACGGCCGCUCAGACUUGAAAUUAAGAGGAAACUUGCUCAAAGAUCAGAGAGAGUAAAAUCUGUAGAUCUCCAUCCCACUGAACCAUGGAUUCUAGCUAGUUUGUUCUGGAACUCUGUGUAUCUUGAACUAGCAGUCACAGACCAUGGCUAAGUGAUUUGAGGUCACUGAGUUGCCAGUUAGGUCGGCCAAUUUAUUGCACGCAAACAAUGGGUUGUUGCUGGAGCUGAUGACAUGUUUAUUCGUGUAUACAAUUACAACACCAUGGAUAAGGUCAAAGUAUUUGAGGCACUGAUUACAUUAG